UACAGAGGUCUCAAGCGUUGUUCGGAUUCAUUGGGCGUAAAGGGUGCGUAGGCGGGUCUUUAAGUCAGGGGUGAAAUCCUGGAGCUCAACUCCAGAACUGCCUUUGAUACUGAAGAUCUUGAGUUCGGGAGAGGUGAGUGGAACUGCGAGUGUAGAGGUGAAAUUCGUAGAUAUUCGCAAGAACACCAGUGGCGAAGGCGGCUCACUGGCCCGAUACUGACACUGAGGCACGAAAGCGUGGGGAGCAAACAGG
rnacentral:rRNA from 1 species